ACGUGCACCGGCACCCACCCGGCCGCCCCCAUGCAGCGGCGACUAGACACGGACAAGUAGCAAGUACCCCUUGCAAUCAGAGACACGUGGGCAUCAAAACUUUGAGAAGUAUGGAUCCAAUCAAUAACAUUCAAAUGCAUAUGAGCCCCGGGGGAUUUAGUACGCCCAAAAAGAACACAACCAUACCUCUCUUU